rnacentral:rRNA from 1 species
UACAGAGGGUGCGAGCGUUAAUCGGAAUUACUGGGCGUAAAGCGCGCGUAGGCGGCUUUGCAAGUCGGGUGUGAAAUCCCCAGGCUUAACCUGGGAACUGCAUUCGAGACUGCAUUGCUAGAGUAUGGGAGAGGGAAGUGGAAUUUCAGGUGUAGCGGUGAAAUGCGUAGAUAUCUGAAGGAACCUCAGUGGCGAAAGCGACUUCCUGGACCAAUACUGACGCUCAUGUGCGAAAGCGUGGGGAGCAAACAGG